rnacentral:misc_RNA from 1 species
AAUUUGAAGUUUAAUGGUCUUUCCAUCUUGCUCGACUGUGCGAAUUUUAAAGUCAACACCAAUGGUACUAAUGUAGCUUUCAAUAUAAGAAUCAUCCGCAAAUCUCAGCAGCAGGCAUGACUUGCCAACACCAGAAUCGCCAAUGAGCAAUAGCUUGAACAGGUAGUCAUAUUCAGGCAUCAUGGUUGAUUUCUAGGAGUUACUGCAAUGAAAACCCGGAUUAAAUUUUGAUCAGCAAAUAAGAGGUUGCGGUGCACAGAGAGAAAGAAGGAGCAGAGAAGGCUCUCUGGCAUAAAUAAUUAGGAGAGGAAGCCAACAAUAAGGUCCAUA